CAGGGCAUGUUGCAUCUUAGAAACUGGCAAGAAGAAAUUUCAGAGCUACUAUUGUUUCUUGCUUUUGGAAAGGGAGCAGUCACAUACUCAGCAAGGUCAGCAUCAUGUGCAAAUGGGACAGACUUUGAGAUUGGCUGCAUACAGGGAGGCUGACCAGGGUCUGUGCAUCACCACAGCAGUGGUGGUGGCAACGUGAGCUCCAUUUCAUGUGCAGGCUGUCAGAGCAGUGCUGGGGAGAGAUUGGAACUGUUCUUAGGAGGCAGCAUGGCUAAAGUGAAGUGUGGUAUGGUAAUAAGCUGAUUGCUGUGUGGGAUGGGAGUCACUUCUAAUUACCUAGAUUGUCAUCACUCUUGUUAUCUGGGUUGGCUGCCUGCACUUCAGGGCAGGCUGUAGCUGAAAAAGGCUUAGGAAUGUGUCCCCUUGAUAGUGAACUUCCUCAGCAGACUUGAAGGGUUUUAACAGACUGGGAAAGUGAUGGAAGUGACCAAUUUACCUGCAUGUUGUUAGAGAUCUUUGCCAGAGCCCCGCUGUCGCAUCCUUCCCCUCUACACACAGGUGUGCUGGAGGCAAUGGGAUCAGCAGCUCACGCCUCACAGCUGCCCUGCUCUGCCUUCCCCAUGGCCCAGGGCCGAGUGCAGUGUUGUGCUACACACACACCUCCACAGCUGCCAUGUAAACCUGCCUCGUGUGUGUGUGUGUGAGAGCAGAGCAGAGCCCUCCCAUCAGCAAGCUGUGUGCAUCGCAGCAGUUGGGCAUGGGCUGAGCCGAGGUGUGCCCUUUCUUCUCCCCUCUUCUCCUUUCUCUCCAGCCCCUGUACUCUCUUCCCUGCCCCAAACUGUCGCUGGAGCCUGAAACAGCCACGCGUGCUCGUAGACCCGGUCCAAUCUGCAGCCGCUGCCUUAUGAACAGCCAGUUGUUGGGUGGUGGGAUUGUGCCAGAGGCGUGAAAAGGUGAUAUUCCCCACCUUGGUCAUGGGUAAAUGAAUUCAUUUGCAAUGAUAAGCUGCAUGCAUUUUAACUGCGGUGCUUGGAGGUGCAGAGUUGGUGGAUAUGCUAACUGCAUGAGGUAGUUCU
rnacentral:lncRNA from 1 species